AAAAAAAUAAUACGUUUAACAUUUUUACAAUUUAAUUCGACGGACCACGAGUAGAAUUUUCAAGCAUUUCUGCUCGGCCAAAAAUAAUUUCAUCCAAAUAAAACCAAUACGAAAACCGAAAAAAAUAUCGAAUGCCUAUAAACCGCACGAUAAUAGCCGGAACCGUUUGAAAAAUUCAAACGUCUUUUCGGUUAUUUUCAACCGAAUCGCAACAAACACGCAAAACCGAAAGUAACG